AUUGAACGCUGGCGGCAGGCCUAACACAUGCAAGUCGAGCGAGCGUCGGACGGGUGAGUAAUGUAUUGGGACUUCCCGAUAUAGGGGGAUAACUACUGGAAACAGUAGCUAAUACCCCAUACUAUCUGAUCGCCCAUAUGGGAUUAGAUAGUAGUUGAGGUAAUGGCUCACCUAGGCGACGAUCCCUAGCUGGUCUGUGAGGAUGAUCAGCCACACUGGGACUGAGACACGGCCCAGACUCCUACGGAGGCAGCAGUGGGGAAUAUUGCACAAUGGGGGCAAGCCGGAUGCAGCCAUGCAGCGUGUAUGAAGAAGGCCUUAGGGUUGUAAAGUACUUUCAGUCGGGAGGCGUUACCUACAGAAGAAGCACCGGCUAACUCCGUGCCAGCAGCCGCGGUAAUUC
rnacentral:rRNA from 1 species